AUUAAGAGCAGUGCUCGGGAUGAAUGAAGAGUUUUAUAACACUCACAAGUUUCUUUUAGUUUUUGGUACAUCUCAAUAUUUUAUGAAGUCAAAAGGGAUUUGAAUCAGCGCCUAUAACAGAAAUGCCAAAGAAAUAUCCUCUUUUUUUGUCACUUUAAUGUCUAUUUUUUGUUGCAGUUUUGUGAGUGCCAUACAUUUUUUAGGAGGAGAUUCAUUGUAUAAAGUUACCACGGAUCUAAUUCAUGUUGUGUAUAUUUGAAAAUUAAAUAGAAAAAAUCCUAAAAAACAAAGAAACAUUCUUGUGGAGGUACUUGGACAAAACCGUAAAACUGGAAAGAUUCAUUACUUGGGACUGUCAAGCACCCUUCUGAAUUCUUGGCCUUUGCUAUUUUGCGUUGAAGAAGAUGAUUUAUUGAUUUUUUUCACUGGAUCAUGGUCAACCUGGUUUUAUUUUUUUCUUUUUGGCAUCAGUUUGACAAGUUUGCCCUGCCAUGGCUUCAGGAAUCCAACCCUUGCAGUGUGGAGUAGUGGUUAGGGCUCUGGACUCUUGACCGGAGGGACGUGGGCUUAAUCCCAGGUGGGGGACACUGCUGCUGUACCCUUGAGCAAGGUACUUUACCUAGAUUGCUCCAGUAAAAACCCAACUGUAUAAAUGGGCAAUUGUGUGUAUAUUGUUGUAUGUAAAUAAUGUGAUAUCUUGUAACAAUUGUAAGUCACCCUGGAUAAGGGUGUCUGCUAAGAAAUAGAUAAUGAUAAGAAUGACAUUUUGAUUUUAUUCCCAACACAAUAUAAGCACUAAUUGAUUCAUAUUUUAAAUGAUCGCU